rnacentral:rRNA from 1 species
CCCGCCGGCGACCGGCGCACGGGUGAGUAACACGUAUGAAACCUGCCCGUAGCAGGGGGAUAAGCGGAAGAAAUUCCGUCUAAUACCGCGUAACAACCCGAGGAGGCAUCUCCUCGGGUUUAAAGGAAGCGAUUCCGGCUAUGGAUGGUCAUGCGUCGCAUUAGCUAGUUGGCGGGGUAACGGCCCACCAAGGCGACGAUGCGUAGGGGUUCUGAGAGGAAGGUCCCCCACACUGGUACUGAGACACGGACCAGACUCCUACGGAAGGCAGCAG